rnacentral:lncRNA from 1 species
CAUCCCUCUGUAGGGUGUUGCUAAAAGUAGCAAGAUGCAGCAGACACUGUUCAACAUUAUACAUAUUUCUUAUUUACCCCAAUGCUGUUCUUCUGAGGCCUAUGAGGCUUUCCAAGAUCUUGCUGACCUUUGUUAAUGCUGUGCCUAGCUGAAUUUUCUGUUUCCUUAGAAGAAAGAGAAGAUGGUUGUUGGAGAGAGGAGGAGGGGCACAAAGUGUGGGAGCCUGAUUAUGUGAAACAGUGUUUCAGAUGUGUGUCUCUGGGAGAUAAUGACUGAGAAGACACUGACCCACAUGAUUGGCAACAUAACACUGAAAUUAAUAUUUCCAAGCAUUCUUCAUAUAGUCUUUCGGUCUCACAACAAAUAUGAGAGUGGUUUCUAUUACUCUUCUCAUUUUACAAAUGUGGAAAUUGAGCUUUCAAGAUAUAACCUGUCCAAAGUCCCACACCUGAUGAUUGGAAGAGCCCCGGCCUGAAGGUCCUUGACGAAUAAGGUCACAUUGGGUAAAUCCUGCUUUUGUUCCUUUAGCAUUUAGCUGUGCUGCAGUUCCUUCUCUGCCCCUCACCUUUUGCAGCCUUUUCCCCUUCUUGUUAAGGACAUUGUGCUAAUGUUGAAAUGUCAUUAUGGGCCUUGAGUUAAUAAAGGGCAUCUUUUCUAGUGUCCAAAACAACAUAUUUCCUGGGUCUUUGAAGGAAGUAAUGAUGACUGGAACCAAAGUCCCAGAAUUUUCCACAAGCCACUACAGAUGUCUGGGAGAGCUGCAUUUGAGGACCUUCACCUGUGCAUGUCUGAACCAGAAUGUUGAGUGUCUGGGUGCUGAGCAACGGACAUGGCGCUGACAAGGAGUCGGCAGCAGGGCCCACCUAACCGGAUAAUUGGGAAUGAAGAUUAUUUUUUUCGAUCUCUCUCUUUUUAUAUAACAAAAAGAAGAGAAGAGAACCUUUACAAAACAAAUGCAGGAGUAUUCAAGAAGGCAGAUGCCAGAUUCAGAAAAGAGGUUCGGGGGGCCAAGUCUCUUCGGGGGGGCCCUCUUCUGAUGGACAUGGGGCGGGGAAAGGGUGGGGGGCCAAGUUUCAAUGGGCCCUGGACUCAUUUUCACCCGAAAACCUGAUUGAGGCCUGCCCCGAAGGAACCUGGCUGCAGAUGUAGAGGGGGAGGAGUUUUAAGCAGGCAUACAAACCUUCUGGAAGCUCCUUGAUGCCUUCUGCUUCCCCACGUUUUGAUUUUUCAGGUUAUUUUAAGGUUUUCAUACCUCGGGCAAGGUGAUUUAUGAUUAUUGGGACUUUAUAUAAGUCUUUAUUUUUGCAAAGUGCUUUACAGUCAUUUUUCUCUCCCUAUUGUG